rnacentral:rRNA from 1 species
GAUGAACGCUGGCGGCGUGCCUAAUACAUGCAAGUCGAGCGAACAGACGAGGAGCUUGCUCCUCUGACGUUAGCGGCGGACGGGUGAGUAACACGUGGAUAACCGACCUAUAAGACUGGGAUAACUUCGGGAAACCGGAGCUAAUACCGGAUAAUAUAUUGAACCGCAUGGUUCAAUAGUGAAAGACGGUUUUGCUGUCACUUAUAGAUGGAUCCGCGCCGCAUUAGCUAGUUGGUAAGGUAACGGCUUACCAAGGCGACGAUGCGUAGCCGACCUGAGAGGGUGAUCGGCCACACUGGAACUGAGACACGGUCCAGACUCCUACGGGAGGCAGCAGUAGGGAAUCUUCCGCAAUGGGCGAAAGCCUGACGGAGCAACGCCGCGUGAGUGAUGAAGGUCUUCGGAUCGUAAAACUCUGUUAUUAGGGAAGAACAAAUGUGUAAGUAACUAUGCACGUCUUGACGGUACCUACUCAGAAAGCCACGGCUAACUACGUG